GUGGAUUAGAUACCCUGGUAGUCCACGCCGUAAACGAUGGAUGCUAGCCGUUGGCAGGCUUGCCUGUCAGUGGCGCAGCUAACGCAUUAAGCAUCCCGCCUGGGGAGUACGGUCGCAAGAUUAAAACUCAAAGGAAUUGACGGGGGCCCGCACAAGCGGUGGAGCAUGUGGUUCAAUUCGAAGCAACGCGAAGAACCUUACCAACCUUUGACAUGUCCCGUAUGAGCACCAGAGAUGGAGCUCUUCAGUUCGGCUGGCGGGAACACAGGUGCUGCACGGUUGUCGUCAGCU
rnacentral:rRNA from 1 species